UACGUAGGUGGCGAGCGUUGUCCGGAAUUACUGGGCGUAAAGCGUGCGCAGGCGGUUUGUUAAGUCCGCUGUGAAAUCCCCGAGCUCAACUUGGGAAUUGCAGUGGAUACUGGCAAGCUGGAGUAUGGUAGAGGAAGGUGGAAUUCCCGGUGUAGCAGUGAAAUGCGUAGAGAUCGGGAGGAACACCAGUGGCGAAGGCGGCCUUCUGGACCAAUACUGACGCUCAUGCACGAAAGCGUGGGGAGCAAACAGG
rnacentral:rRNA from 1 species